AUUGAACGCUGGCGGCAGGCCUAACACAUGCAAGUCGAACGAGCGGCGGACGGGUGAGUAAUGUCUGGGAAACUGCCUGAUGGAGGGGGAUAACUACUGGAAACGGUCGCUAAUACCGCAUACCAUCAGAUGUGCCCAGAUUGGAUUAGCUAGUAGGUGGGGUAACGGCUCACCUAGGAGACGAUCCCUAGCUGGUCUGAGAGGAUGACCCGCCACACGGGAACUGAGACACGGUCCCGACUCCUAACGGAGGCAGCAGUGGGGAAUAUGGCACAAGGAGCGCAAGCCUGAUUCAGCCAUGCCGCGUGUAUGAAGAAGGCCUUCGGGUCGUAAAGUACUUUCAGCGUGGAGGCGUUACCCGCAGAAGAAGCACCGGCUAACUCCGUGCCAGCAGCCGCGGUAAUUC
rnacentral:rRNA from 1 species